GUCUAUGGCUAUGCCACCCUGAACGUGCCCAAUCCCGUCUGAUCUCGGAAGCUAAGCAGGGUCAGGCCUGGUUUGUACUUGGAUGGGAGACCACCCAGGAAUACCAGGUGCUGUUGAUG
rnacentral:rRNA from 1 species